UAACAUUACUCUUAAUAUUUAAUAAGAUUUUUUUUUGCUAAAUUAAAUCAAAUAUCAAAUUAGAUGUUAGGGUUUAUUUUUAACGGAUGCAAUUGGACUUUGGACAUUUAAAUUAUGUAAUUGGACUAAUAAAUCAUAAACGGAUGAGAUUUUUGUUAAAUUUUAAAAUAAAUCUAAUCUUGAAUUUGAUGUAUCUAAUCUUGAAUUCUAAAGGGUAAAUUUAUGAUUUCAGGUAAUCUAAUAGAGCAAGUCAUUUGAAUUUUUUGGACAAGUUGAGGCAGCUGCCUCAACUUGUCUCUUAGUGGCUCCACCACUAAUUGCUGUGUUCCAUUUAACGAAUAUCUUUUCCAGUCCAAUGUUUCAUGCUUAUUAUGUAAUAUAAAUAUAUAAAUUACGAACAUAAUGUAUAAGUAACAUGUCUAACACAUACAGCUACUGUGUAGAAGGGUGUUGAAUGUUGAUACAUAUUUUAUGUAGUCGGAAGUUUUUAACUUUUUCAGCUAAAGAAAAUGUGUCCACAGAGGAUUGAUUAAUUCCAAGCGAGAUGACAAGAAAUGAACUUAAGGAUAUAGAAAUACCAACAGAGGAGACACUGGAUGGAAUAGUGAGAAGAUGAAAAUGCAAUUGAAGCCAAUGGGUGGGUGGCCAGGCCAGCAGAUGGUCCAAGGCCAUUCUCAAUGCCAAGAAGUACCCCAAUCCAAUAUGUGCAUAAAAUGUGUUCAUCCUCGCUGUGUUAAAACGGAUGAGAGAAUUGGCAUGCCAUGCAGGGCAGGAGGGAUAAUGACUGUUGAAGAAGAGGCCAAAGGUCCUGUCAUGUCAUGUGCUCACUUUUACCAGAUGGAGGCCCUACAGGCUGCUGUUUUGAUCAGAAACAAGUGGCUGAGUUGAACAUUGCUCUUCAAUUUCAGCAAGUUGUGAACUUAACAAGUCAACAAGUCGGCAAGUCAUAUAUGAAUAUUCUAUCUUUUAUAAACAUUGAUUUUUAUUUUUAUUUUGGUUUGAGAAGUAUAAAUAUUGAGUUUUAAAAAUGAAAAUUAUUAGCGUUAUAUUUGUAGCUGGUUUUAUGUAUUGAAAUCAAGGACAAUUAUAAGCAGGGCAAAAACCCAAAACUUUGGUUGCAAGGCUCGCGUAUUUCAAAAGAUGAAAAUAUAUGUUAAUUUCUUCUAUCUUUCAAUAAGUACUUUAUUCGUAUUAUUUGAAUGUAUCAAGUUAAAUAACAUUUAGAUAUAUAUAUAUAUAUAUAAAAGUAAAAGGACAAAAAAAAAUCUCUUAAAUUUCGGUUCAAUGUUCUUUCAAAAAAUAAAAAUUAUAAGUUACUGACUUCUAAAAGGAUAAUAUAAAAUAUUAAUUGUUAUAGCUGGAUGUGAAAGCGUAUUGUGCUUAUUUUCACAUAAGUUCAAGUCAUAACAUAAAUAAAUGUUGGUAUUUAAUAGAUGAGAUUUAGAUAUAAGUUGAAAAAAAUAGAUUUUUUGAAGUGAAUAUUAAACUCGAGAAGAAUUAUGAUUUGUUACUGCCUAUAAGAAAAGAUAAAUUAUAAUAAAUUUGUGGGAUUUCAGUGGUGGUGUCAAUGAUUAGACCAUUUACAAUAAAAACUAUUAUACAAAAGAAUAAAGAUAUUAGGAAUACUAAUUAAUUUAGGGAUAUUUUUUUAACUUCUAUUGUAAUUUACACAUUAUUUUUUCUUAAAUUUCUCAAUAGUGCUCGAAAAUCAAUUCACGUUCAAUAUUUUGGUGCUUAGUAUUUUGUUGAAAAUUUGUACUAAGCUUCUUUAGAUUCAAUUCACGGUCAGCCAUCACCAGAAUGGUACAUGUUUGAUUUCAGGUGGAAUUUAUUAAUUAGUGCAUGAGAAAGCGUGUUUAAUAAUUACAAUUACGUAACAAAUUUAUA
rnacentral:lncRNA from 1 species